rnacentral:rRNA from 1 species
AGGACGAACGCUGGCGGCGUGCCUAACACAUGCAAGUCGAGCGAGGAGAUCCUUCGGGAUGAUCCUAGCGGCGGACGGGUGAGUAACACGUGGGCAACCUGCCUCAUAGAGAGGAAUAGCCUUCCGAAAGGGAGAUUAAUACCUCAUAACAUUGCAGUUUCGCAUGGAACAGCAAUUAAAGGAGUAAUCCGCUAUGAGAUGGGCCCGCGGCGCAUUAGCUAGUUGGUGAGGUAACGGCUCACCAAGGCGACGAUGCGUAGCCGACCUGAGAGGGUGAUCGGCCACAUUGGGACUGAGACACGGCCCAGACUCCUACGGGAGGCAGCAGUGGAGAAUAUUGCACAAUGGGGGAAACCCUGAUGCCAGCAACGCCGCGUGAGUGAUGACGGCCUUCGGGUUGUAAAGCACUGUCUUCAGGGACGAUAAUGACGGUACCUGAGGAGGAAGCCACGGCUAACUACGUGCCAGCCGCGGC